rnacentral:rRNA from 1 species
UGAGGAAUAUUGCACAAUGGGCGCAAGCCUGAUGCAGCGACGCCGCGUGGGUGAAGAAGGUUUUCGGAUCGUAAAACCCUUUUCUGUGUGACGAGAACGGACGGUAGCACAGGAAUAAGUCUCGGCUAACUACGUGCCAGCAGCCGCGGUAAAACGUAGGAGACAAACGUUAUCCGGAGUUACUGGGCGUAAAGGGCGUGCAGGCGGCAGUCUAAGUCUGGCGUGAAAUAUCCCGGCUUAACCGGGGAAGGUCGUCGGAUACUGGACCUUAAUUGACGCUGAGGCACGAAAGCGUGGGGAGCGAACAGGAUUAGAUACCCGUGUAGUCCCUGAGCGGGCUGGCAAGGCGCAU